rnacentral:rRNA from 1 species
CGAGAAGACCCUAUGGAGCUUUAGACACUAAGAGAGACCAUGUUAAACACCCCGGAACAACGGGCCAAACUGAGUGGACCCUAUCCUAAUGUCUUUGGUUGGGGCGACCCAGG